GUCACUUCCUGUUUAUGGAAAAUAAAUAAAUCCGAAAGCGGAAGUGACACUCAGGCGUCAUUGUUGUUGACUUUGAGGAACAAAGUUAUUAAUUUCCAUUAUUUAGAGAAAGAGAGAGCGAAGACAGCACCAACCCAGAGGAUUUACCAAAUUCUAUACACCCACAUAUAUACAGCAGAAACACCAACUGGUAUUCUAUGGGGAUCAGCACCGAACAGUUGUCGGAAAUGGCAUAAAUUGAAUUGAUGAAUCGAUUGAAAGUAAGGAAGUGGUGUCUCCCGAAAACACCGUCUUGCUGAAGCAACAUCCGUCUAGGUAUACAACAUCAUUUAUUAUAUUAUAUUACUUUCGGGGUCGAUAAAUUAAGUACCAGUUACGCACUGGAGUCGAUGUAAUCGACUUAAUCCCUUUGCCUGUCCUUGUUUCUCCUCUCUGUGUUUAGCCCCUUGUGGGCAAGAAAGAAAUAUAUAUUAUUAUAUUACACAUCGUAUUUUCCAUAUUAUCUACUGGCUAUAUAGGUAUGUGUGUAUAUGUAUGUAUAUGAAGCUAUUUACAUGUCUCUCUUUCUCUCUAUCUCUGCUCUCUUAUUGAGAGGACAAAUUAGAAAUCUUCCUCAUAAAAGGAAGUAUUUUUUUUUUUCUUUAAAAAGAGAUAUAUAAAUCUGAUUUAUAUUCUGUUUUUAUUUUGCAGUUUUCUUCCGAGUGUGGAGAAUAGAACUGAAAAACUUCCGCUCGUCCGGAAACUUGGAAUUUACUAGAAAGGAUAUUUUUUAUCGUUUACCGACGGCCUUUAUUUUUCUGUUUCCCCCCUCGAAAAAAAACAAAACAAAACAAAAUAAAAUAUAUAUAUAUAUAUUCGCAACACCAAGAACUAUUUAACUUUCUAUAAUUGGUUACCUGAUAUUGCGAGAAAAUGUCUACACCUGCUCGUCGUCGUUUAAUGAGAGAUUUUAUGAGACUGCAAGACGACCCACCCGCCGGAGUGAGCGGAGCACCGACCGAUAACAACAUCAUGUUGUGGAAUGCAGUGAUUUUCGGCCCGACAGACACACCCUUCGAGGACGGUACCUUCAAACUGACCAUCAAAUUCACAGAGGAAUACCCGAAUAAACCCCCGGCCGUACGUUUCUCUUCUAAAAUGUUCCACCCUAAUAUCUAUGCUGACGGUAGCAUCUGCUUGGACAUUCUCCAGAACCGAUGGAGUCCUACAUACGAUGUGUCUUCUAUACUGACUUCUAUCCAGUCGUUGUUAGACGAACCCAACCCAAACAGUCCUGCCAAUAACCUGGCCGCCCAACUCUAUCAGGAAAAUCGACGAGAGUACGAGAAACGAGUAAAGGCCAUAGUGGAAGAGAGCUGGAUUUACCAAGGCAACGGAGCUACUUCAUCGGAAUAAUAAUAAUAAUAAUAUUAAUAAUGAACACUUGUGUGUCUUGGUUGCAUUCUUGUCCAACAUUGAAUGUUAGAUAAAUUCAUUCUCUCUCUACUGACUUUUGGGUUCGUUCUCUCUGAAUCCUGCCACGUAACACAAAAAAAAAAACCACAUAAAAAAAAGCACAAAUACAAAAAGAAAACAGAAAAAUCCGAAGAAAACAAUUCUUAAAAAAAAUAAAAGAAGACUUCAUCUCUUAUCAUUUAUUUUUGAAUUUUCAAGUUCCAAAAAAUCUGGUUGUUACAAAAUGAAAAACUUGCCAACAUACAAACUUAGUCAACACUAUCACACACACACACAUACAUACAUACACACAGCAUUUAUUUCAGAAACAUAUCUAUUACACUUCUAAAUUGCAUCAUCAAUAUGUUGGUUUUAUGUCAAAUGACUGGGUGUGUGUGGGAUGUGGGAGUGGUGAGUAAGUAAAUGUAUUUGAUUAGAUUCUUCACUCUUUUAUUGUUGUUAUUGUCACUAACACUUUGUUAUCUCCAACAUUUAUAUAGCCCUCAACCUGCUCAAUUAGUCAGCCCUCAUACCAUAGAUGACGAACUAAGAACAUAAGCCUUUAAAUGGUCACUCCAUUCUCUUGCCACAAGUAGAGGAGUUAAGCCCAGAUCUGAUCGGUUCAGUACGUUCUCUAACAGGAGUUUUAGACUCAUAGACAGUACUUACCAAAGACAGAGGAGUUAAGCGUAGUCAUCCACAUUUAGUCAAUACUCUCACUAUUGAUUCAGUUAAUAUAGACCCUGAUAUUUUUAGACAAUAUUCUAGGCACAAAUUGAAGGGUAAGGGUCAGCUUGGACGUACUCAGACAAGAAUGCUCCUAGCAGACUGUAGAGUUUAUGUCAGCCGUGUUUAAUUAGACGAUAGUCUCAUCUGAAAGCAAAGGGUUAGAUAAACUCUGAUUUGCUCAUUUAGACAAUACUCUCACUAAAACCCGAGGAGUUAGAUGAAACUCUGACCUAGGUAUUACUCUCACCACAGACUGCAAAACCUCAAAGAAAAACUUUAUAUCAAGAAAGAAUCUUUUUCUGUAUUUGUUUCAUUGGAAAGUAAUUACAGUUUUUCAUUCCAGUAAUGCAACUCAGCUGUUUUUUUUUAUUUCUUGUUUUAUUUUCUUCACCAUCUCUUCCUCAUGUCUAAAUAUCUACACACACGUGUGUGUGUGUAGUUUACUGUUCUGUUAAGGUAAAAUCACCAAAAAAAAAAAUGUAUUCCAUUCAGUGAGAGAGAAAUGUCAUUUAAGGCAUUCCUUCGUUU
rnacentral:lncRNA from 1 species